rfam:Ictidomys tridecemlineatus contig034317, whole genome shotgun sequence.
GGUGGUGUAGCUCAGUGGCAGAGCACGUUCCUGACAUGUAUGAGGCCUUGGGUUUGAUCCCUAGUACCACAA